rnacentral:antisense_RNA from 10 species
GAUAGCUAAAUAUAACACUAGGAUUAAGAGUUAGAUUGGUAAUUUUUCUUACAUCUCCUCCUCCCGGUGCCCAAGUAUCAUAAAUACCUCCAAACCAAAUUGCUUUUGCUACUAAUAAUAAAGCACCUAGACCUAAUAAAAUUAGAUGAAUACCUAAAAUAGUGGUCAUUUUGUUUUUAUCUUUCCA